rnacentral:rRNA from 1 species
UCUGUAUGAUAGUUUUAUAGAGUCUAGCCUGCCCAUUGGGGAACUGAAAGGCCGCGGUAUUAUGACCGUGCGAAGGUAGCAUAAUCAUUAGUCUUUUAAUUGGAGGCUGGAAUGAAUGGUUGGACGAGAAAUAAACUGUCUUUGUCUUAAAAAUUGAAUUUAACUUUUAAGUGAGAGGGCUUAAAUGGAUUAAAGGGACGAUAAGACCCUGUAAAGUUUAUACAUUAAAUUAAUUAAAAAUAAUUAAGGAGAUUAAAAUUUAUUAUUGGGGAGAUGUUUAGUUGGGGCGACUAGGAUAUAAUUUAAUUAUAACUGUCUUAGAUUAAGAUCAAAGAUAUUUGAGUUUAUGAUCCUUUUUUAGGAUUCAAGAACAAGUUACUUCAGGGAUAACAGCGUAAUUUUUUUUGAGAGUUCUUAUCGACAAAAGAGUUUGCGACCUCGAUGUUGAAUUAAAAGUUUCUCUGAAGUGCAGCAAUUUCAGGAGAAGGUCUGUUCGACCUUUAAAUUUUUACAUGAUUUGAGUUCAGACCGGCGAGAGCCAGG